AUGCUCGCUCGCAGCACAUAUACUAAAACUGGAACAAUAUAGAGAGGAUUAGCAUGGCCCCUGAGCAAGGAUGACAUGCAAAUUUGUGAAGCAUUCCACAUUUAA
rnacentral:snRNA from 1 species